AGAAUCGUAUUUAACAAAAUAAAUAAUAUUUCCCUAGGUAAGAGAUCUACUUCACCUUGAGCCAGACUUUAAGGUUGGGUUUCAAUAUAAAAAAAGAAUUUAAUUCAUUGUCAAAACGGGACAGUAAUAAAAAUUUAGGCGAGAAAAUCGUGCAGCAAAAGCUCGCACAAUGCCUAGCUAAUAUUAGUAGGGAAUAAGAAAAGUGGUGGAACCUGGAGAUUCUUUACCACAACCUAAAAGUAAAGUUAAACGAGUCGCGUUCACGUUUUUAUAUCCCCUUUAACCAAUCAAACUCGACUUCACAAUACCCCCCAACAAGUGAAACAUGAAAUCUGAAACGUUUAAAGCUGAGACCCUUGACCAAUCAGAAACGUUGUUUAUAAAUAACUUCGAGAGAACUGUCAAAAUGGAGGACCUUUUCCUGUCAAAAUACAUGUGCUUUCUCAAACCAAAAUAAAUGUGGAAAUAUUCGAACACAGGAAAGAAAUCAAAGAAUUAAGGACAGGAAAAUAACUGAAUAGUGAAGGUUACAUUAUUUACGCUAGAUGUAAGAAAUUUAGACACGUUUUGGAAUUAUAAAAAUCAAAACUAUUACAACAUAUAGGUUAUAGUGCAAUAUUUAUAUUGCAAAUCACAUUUUCCUCUAUGAACCAGCCAAUUUCAGCGCGCGACACAAUCCGUUCACAUUGACUAUGAACGGAUUAUGAACUAGCUUAAGGUAGCGACGGAUAGCAACCACGUGAUCAGUAAAAAUUGUGUAUUGUCACGUGAAUUCAUUUUCCGGAAUUCCUUACUCCGUCAUAGAAUAGUCGAAAAACAAAAAGGGGUUCCGAAAGUGUUUUGUUGCUGUGACUGACUCGCCUACAGAAAAUAUGCACAUACCACAUAAGUAUACGUCAAUGUCUGUAAUAAUGGUAGAUCAAAUGUUUCAUCUGUGUGAAACUUUUUGCUAAUCGAAAUGUUAAACCAACCACCAAUCCAUGUACAUAGAUGCGCUACGUAAACAAAGUUAUUGAUUGAUGGAUCGUAAUGUCCGAGUGCUGCAUGUUGAGAGAUACAGUCAUUGAGAGGCUAAACAAAGUUUCUUGCAAGAAGAGGAAGUUGGUGGAUGCAUUCAACUUGGACAACGAAAUCAUAGUUUCGUUUGGCAUCAGCCUGAAGACCGAGGGAGGUUAGAUAGGACCAGUGCAGGUUGAAGUGGAUUUCGAGUCAACAAGUAUAACAGCAAGAGAGGUACUCCAUUUACAGUGAUGAUGACAUAUCCCCUGGACCCCCACAACUCCACAAAUUUAAAAAUGUUUGAUCAAGUUCCGAAGAUUAAAGAACUACUGCAAAAUUUGGGACUGGAUGAAAAACAUUAAUUCACUUAUAUGAGCUCAGAGCAGUGGAUGUUAUACAACAUACUUUAAACUAAAUUGUGAAUUUAAGGGAAAACAAGUACAUGUCAUGUACUCGUAUAUUACAAGUACAUGCCUUUUGAAAGACAAUAAUAUUGCAUAGAUGUAAAGGAAAUUUCAAUGUUGAUUAUUCUUUCUUAGAUAUAUUAGUAAAAAAUGUGCACAUGAUAGAAUAUCAAUUUUAUAACUUCAAUCAAUGUGUUUGAAUUUUCCUUGUAAUUCAAAAUUUAAAAUCAUAGAUACAUUAAUGUAUAUCAAAUUUUUAGAAAAGUUUCAUAAUGGAACUAAUUCCCCCCCCCCCCCCCCCCCUUAUACAUACAGUGAACAUAGACCUUCACCUGGGGAAAACUUCAGUUAGUUAAUGCAAUAUACAUGUGCAUGCAUUCUCAGUUAUCCAAUAGUGAGUUUUUGGUUCCAUGUGAAACUACAAUUAGAAAUCUUAAACUUAUGAAAGACACACCUAUCUGUGAGGGUAAGAUGACUCAGAUGGACUUACAUGUAGUGAUCCAUGGGCAGUCCAUGGGUCUCUUUCCAUUGAUAUUAAUUAUUUAUUGAAAUAUGAAAUGGUUAUUUAAACAUAUUUGGUGUAUUAUACUGUAUAGUGAUAUAAAUUUCUAUCAAAAAAUAUGUAUAGAUAAUAGAUUUGGUCCAGAUAUUACAAGAAAUUGUAUGAAAAAUAACUAAAUAUUUAGGCAAUCAUUGUGAGUGCGAAAAGGUCAACUGCAAUAGCACACACUAUAUAUCAUUCUUAAAUGGCUCAUAGAAACUUCUAGUAUUGUGAGUUUGAAUGCUCAAUAUGGUAAUUUGGGAAUGCUUAAUCAUUUAAGGUCAAUAGUUUAUCUCUGCUGACUGUAUCUCUUAAAAUUCAUUUCUAGAAGGGAGGGGGUAGGGUUACAAAAUCUGACAUAGUUUCAGAUUAAACCUCAUUUGGUAUAUUUUUUUCUAUUCAAUAUUUUAGAUACUACUUGACUUAUUGUAAAAAUGAAAUAAAAUCAGAAAUUUUAUGAGCAGAAUUUUGUUGUUGUCAGAAAAUGUAUGCCUGAUAGUAUUUGAGAAACGCCAUAUUUAGGGUAAAUUUGGCCAAUUGCCAAAUCGAAUCAUGCCAAUGUUUUCCUUAGAUGCAUUUUGAAUUUCUAAUCCAUGUUGAUUUUUUAUCUGUUUGUGUUUAAUUUACAUAACUAUAUAUGACAAACAAUAUUUCUGGUGUCAAUAAAAUUUUUAUUGGC